rnacentral:SRP_RNA from 2 species
UUUGGCAAUAGUUAGGCUAUGAAUUGUGUCAGGUCCGGAAGGAAGCAGCACUAAGUAGUCUGGCUAUGUGCCUUUUUU